rnacentral:rRNA from 1 species
CCUACGGGAGGCAGCAGUGGGGAAUAUUGCACAAUGGGGGAAACCCUGAUGCAGCAACGCCGCGUGAGUGAAGAAGUAUUUCGGUAUGUAAAGCUCUAUCAGCAGGGAAGAAAAUGAAGGUAACUGACUAAAAAGCCCCGGCUAACUAAGUGCCAGCAGCCGCGGUAAUACGUAGGGGGCGAGCGUUAUCCGGAUUUACUGGGUGGAAAGGGAGCGUAGACGGUUCUGCAAGUCUGAAGUGAAAGACCGGGGCUUAACCGGGGAACUGCUUUGGAAACUGUGUAGCUGGAGUGCUGGAGAGGCAAGCGGAAUUCCUAGUGUAGCGGUGAAAUGCGUAGAUAUUAGGAGGAACACCAGUGGCGAAGGCGGCUUGCUGGACAGUAACUGACGUUGAGGCUCGAAAGCGUGGGGAGCAAACAGGAUUAGAUACCCUUGUAGUC